rnacentral:lncRNA from 1 species
GUCGAAAGAACAUCUUGUCGGAAAGAAGAUAACGAAGGAGCAACUUGAGAGGUAAGGUCAGGGGGCCUCGCCGUCGAGUCUAUCCUCUCGCCACCGUCGCCAACCCCAUGGACCAUUAUUGCCAUGUCUCUGCAGCGUUGGGAGGGCUGCACACUCUAUUAGAAGGGGAAGAAGGAGAGUAGAGAGGCUGCAUGCAGUUGCUGCCCCCUAAAGAAACUCUUCUCUGUUCCACCGAGCAGAAUAGGAGGAGAACAACGUGCAGUUUCCUUCUCUUCUAUUCCCGCUGGCAGAGAGGCGAGAAGAGGAAGAAGAGAUCCCGUUCCUUCCUAUCUCAUUCGCCUGAAGAAAAAAUAGAAGGGAGAAGCCUCUUUUCCUCUGUUCGACGGAGAGCAAAGGGCUGCAGAAACAAACUUCUUGAGUUUGUUUACUUUUUCUGUUACAAUCUCUAUUCCUAUAGCAAUCUCUGUUCCCGCUGGUAGAGAGGCGAGAACA